rnacentral:lncRNA from 1 species
CCGCAAAAUUCCACAGCAAUUUGAAGAAAGAGAAAUUUGCCUUUAUAGUUCCCCCAGAAGUUUUGAUAAUUAAAUAAUCCAUAACACUAUUCUCACAUAUUUGUUAGUAUUCUUUUUUAUUGAGCAAGACUUCGUAUACCAUAAAAUGCACCAUUUUCAAGUGUACUAUUCCAUGGUUUUUAGUAUAGUCACAAAGUUUUGCAACCUUCAAAACUAUUUAAUUCCAGAACAUUUUCGUCAUCUAAGAAGACAUGAUAUUUGAUAUUUUAUUCUCCUGGUGGGAACUCUUUCCUAAAUGAAAUAAAUUUUUAUUUUCCUAAAUAUUUUCUUAAGUAAAGUGAAAAGUAUAGCUUCUAAGACAUCUCUACCAUGACUUUGUCUUCAUUUCAUAGUUGAUCUUUAGCUUACUUACUUCAAAAUCUUCCAAUAAGUUCAAUCGAGAUCCUA